rnacentral:misc_RNA from 1 species
CGUAACAAGGUUUCCGUAGGUGAACCUGCGGAAGGAUCAUUACAGUAUUCUUUUGCCAGCGCUUAACUGCGCGGCGAAAAACCUUACACACAGUGUCUUUUUGAUACAGAACUCUUGCUUUGGUUUGGCCUAGAGAUAGGUUGGGCCAGAGGUUUAACAAAACACAAUUUAAUUAUUUUUACAGUUAGUCAAAUUUUGAAUUAAUCUUCAAAACUUUCAACAACGGAUCUCUUGGUUCUCGCAUCGAUGAAGAACGCAGCGAAAUGCGAUAAGUAAUAUGAAUUGCAGAUUUUCGUGAAUCAUCGAAUCUUUGAACGCACAUUGCGCCCUCUGGUAUUCCAGAGGGCAUGCCUGUUUGAGCGUCAUUUCUCUCUCAAACCCCCGGGUUUGGUAUUGAGUGAUACUCUUAGUCGGACUAGGCGUUUGCUUGAAAAGUAUUGGCAUGGGUAGUACUAGAUAGUGCUGUCGACCUCUCAAUGUAUUAGGUUUAUCCAACUCGUUGAAUGGUGUGGCGGGAUAUUUCUGGUAUUGUUGGCCCGGCCUUACAACAACCAAACAAGUUUGACCUCAAAUCAGGUAGGAAUACCCGCUGAACCUAAGCAUAUC